GGAUGUAAGGGCAAUCUGUCUGCGACAUCUGUGAGUCACCACGUUGAUCACCAGGGUUGAUUUGGUCAAUCAUGCUGGCUAGGCUGGUGUACCCCGCUUCCUCCCUCAUGGUUCCAGGUGUGUCCCUCCCAGAGUUGCGCUCUUGGUCAAAGAGGAGGACAUUCUGAGAAUAGAGAUAGACUGGUCUUCAGUCUAGGGUAUAGGAGUAGCUGUAUUCCCUUGUUAGAAACUCCAAACAAGCUCUCAAAAAAAAAAAAAUGUUGAGCCAACUUCUUAUAGCCAAAGGAAUUUUCUUCUAGAAAUGAUCUCUCCUU
rnacentral:snRNA from 1 species